AGCGACUGUAGUCCCGGAGCCGGGGACCCGCGCCCUCGCGAGAGCAGAACAGAGAAAAGCGAUAUGUGUUUCGCUUGGCAGGAAAACACUUGCUUUCAAGACUACACUUCCAAAAUGCACGAGUGUCUGGGCUGUGCAGCAAGCCGGCCUUAGUUUUUCCCUCUUAACGCGGUAGCACGUACUUGAGAACAAAAAAAAGCAGCCCCUGACAUCCAGGAACUGGCCUGACACUUACAGGAACAUGAACUGAAUGUCUACCAUGUGUGGGUGCUGGGACUUGAAUUGUGAUCAAGCUACAAUCCCUGACUACUCUACAAGAGGUUCCAGUCUGGAGGAGGUAAGCACUUGGAGAUGUAAGGAGUGCAAAGCACAGCAUGUGCACGACGCCAGGGCAGUGUAGGGGAAGGGUUACUUCCCUUCGUGGGGCAUCAGAAGACUCCCCAGAGGGAGAGGUGUUUAAACAGAUUUCAAGAGAAAGUGGGAAUUGGUCCUACCAAACACAUCUGUGCCCCAACAAGAUGGCAUGAAGAGCCAGAGACAUUCACAGAACCCAGGCAUCCAACCUCCCCCCUACCCCCUCAUCCCUGCUCUGGGGGACCCUAAUGGGUGGUCUCUCUGUCCUUGAUUCUCCCUCUGAGUGUGAAGAAGGCAGGAAUUGCCCAAGACUCGAAUGGUAAAUGUGAGUGGGGAGAUGGAUAGAGACUUUAUUUUCUGGUCAGGGGCUGCAGUCUGCUCAUUUUCCAUCCUUUUCCCCAAAUUUCUGGUCAUUUAGUUUGAAUUCCUUUUUUUUUGCGGUACGCAGGCCUCUCACUGUUGUGGCCUCUCCCGUUGCGGAGCACAGGCUCCGGACGCGCAGGCUCAGUGGCCAUGGCUCAUGGGCCCAGCCGCUCUGCGGCAUGUGGGAUCCUCCCGGACUGGGGCACGAACCCGUGUCCCCUGCAUCGGCAGGCGGACUCUCAACCACUGCGCCACCAGGGAAGCCCUAGUUUGAAUUCUUUACUUCUCUCUCAAGCUGUAACCCAGACCAUGUACCUGCUCAUCUGUCAGGAGAGCAGGAGGGGCACAGAGGAUCCUAUUCAAGGCCCAGGUUCUCCAAAGGAGUUAAACUUGUAAGAAGAAAUUAAACAGAUUUGAUCUUGUUAGUUUAUUGAAUAAAUCAAUUCUGGGUAAAGAAAAAACAGAACUAGCUUUGGGGACAGAGGCUGGGGAAGUGAGCGACCCCCCGGCCCCUGUGGUGCGGGCAGAGGGGUCACUUGUAAAACUCAUGCUCCUGUUCGUCCUUCUUGAUGACUGUCUUGUAUGCUUUCUCGAAGUCCUUGGCCAGAACAAUGUAGCGGUUCUCUCGGACAGCCAACAUCCCGCUCUGUUGAGGGAUGACAGUUAAAAUCUACUCCCUGCACUCCCCGCCCCUAAUGAUGGUGCAGGAAGAGACAGACGCAGCCUAAGACCCAGGGAGGCAAUGAUGGACAGGACUGCAGCAGAGUGGAGGGUCUUCACACACCCGCUGCCCAAUCUAGAGAGAAACCAGCACUCACCUCCUGACAGAUGGAGUUGAUAUCAGCUCCUGAAAUCUUAUCUGGUCGGGCCACAUCUAUGGCAGGUGAGUUAAGGAAACCACUCCAUGCAUGACUGGGUGAAUGCUUGGAGCCAGAAGUCGUUCUUGGGCUGUCUUUGUCACCAUCCCCCUCCCCAGACCCUGGUCUCCCACCUGCACAGUCUGGGUGGUGGUGAUGGCAGAGGUGGAGAUCUAAUCCCCAUUCUCAGCGGUGACCCUCCCCUCGCUUCUAGAGCAGGAUACAAUCUUCCAAGUCAACCUCCUCAGAGAGGUUCAUCUUGCUGGUGAUAGUGGAGAAAAUCAAUCUCUUCUGGCGGCGGUCAGGGAGUGGAAAUUCAAUUUUACGGUCAAGGCGUCCCGGCCGCAGCAGAGCAGGAUCCAGGGUGUCUGCUCUGUUUGUGGCCAUGAUCACCUGGCAUCGGGGACAGGCCAGCUCAGACCUCUGUCCCCACUAUACUCCAUCCUGUCGCAAUACCUAUCUCCUCACAUGCCAGCCUCCAUCCUUCCCUGAUUCCCACACCACACCUCCCCUCGCCCAUCCUGAACCCCAAACCUUGACGUUGACGUUCUGGUCGAAUCCAUCCAUUUGAUUCAGUAGCUCCAGCAAGAUUCUCUGAACCUCCCUGUCAGCUGGAUAGUAUAUAACACCGUCAGUCCAGGGCAUCCCGCAUGACAAGCCUGCCCAAGACCCCAGGCCCUGGGACUUCCCUGGUGGCACACUGGUUAAUAAUCCACCUGCCAGUGCAGAGGACACGGGUUCAAGCCCCGGUCCAGGGAGAUCUCACAUGCCGCGGAGCAACUAAGCCCGUGCGCCACAACUGAGCCUGCGCUCUAGGGCCCGCGAGUCACAACUACUGAGCCCACACGCUGCAACUACUGAAGCCUGUGCGCCUAGAACCAGUGCUGUGCAAUGCAGCAAGAGAAGCCUCUGCAAUGAGAAGCCUGGGCACCACAACGAAGAGUAGCCCCUGCUCGCUGCAGCUAGAGAAAGCCCACACGCAGUAACGAAGACCCAACACAGCCAAAAAAAUAAAAUAAAUAAAGUCAUUAAAAAAAAAAGACCCCAGGCUCUGUUUGGGCAUCACUCACCCCCUGUCUGGGCAUCGAAUCUCUUGGUUGCGAUGGCAUCAAUCUCAUCUAUGAAGAUGAUGGCAGGUGCGUUCUCCUUGGCCAGGCGGAACACGUCCCGGACCAUGCGAGGGCCCUCACCCAGGUACUUCUGUACAAACUCUGAGCCCACAACUCGGAUGAAUGCAGCUGAUGGCAGGAUGACAGGGGUUAGACGAGAAUGGAACACCUGUAGGGCCCCAUAAUACUUUAACUGAAACUGAGAAUUCCUUGAGGACAUCCUUUUCUUUGGAUACCCACUCCAAGUAGCCAGGUCAUUCUCUCAUGACCUGGGCUGGGUUCCAGAUCCAGCUAGGCGGACCAGCUUGUACUCCACAGAGACCCAGCAGCACAAAUCAUGAAUCCUGCCUAUGGAUGUGUCAUUUUUUGGCCCAACAUUUAGAAAUCAGGGUAUUAAAAAAAAAUGUGUCUGUGCUUCGACAUACCGACAAAGAAGAGCUAGAGACAUGCAUGGAAUCCGGCAUACCAAAAAAUGUGAAUUUCCGGAGUGCUUGAAAAAUCAGUAAGAAAACAGGUUUUCCAUACACAGGCAUCAUGCUGCCUUACCAAGGGCUCAAAGGACCCCUUUUGAAUAUCAUGCAAGAGUCAAGAACCAGGAACACAUAUUCUGAUAUAAUCAACAAGUGGCAAUGGGGUUAAAGACAGGUUCUGGGCUUGCCUCUCCUUUCCAUCUUUUCUUAGAGUUUAACUUGUUUGUUAGUGACUGGAUGUGGCUUUGUGUUGCACGGAGCAACCUCCAGGACACUCCUUCCAGCCACCACAGAGAAAGGAGACACAAAGUCCAUUAUGUAGAUCUGGUCAUAAACUAGGAGUUGUGCAAGUUGCAGCCCUGUCCCUCUCUAAUGUGGUGGCCACUGGCGGCAAGGGGCUACUGAGCAGCCGCAGUGUGGCUGGUCCCAAAUGAGAUGUGCUGUAAAUGUGAAAUACACACCAGACUUCAAAAGACAGUACAAAAAAAGUAGAAUAUCUCAAUAAAUGUCCAUCAACAAAUGAAUAGAUAAAGGGUGCUAUAUACAUACAAUAGAAUAUUAUUUGGCUUUCAAAAGGAAGUAAGUUCUGACAUGUUUCAACAUGGGUAAAGCCCCAAAGACAUUAUGCUCAGGGAAAUAAGCCAGCCACAAAAAGACAAAUACUCUAUGAUUCAUCCAUGUAUAUGAGGUGCCCAGAAUAGGCAAAUUCAUAGAGACUGAAAGUAGAACAGAGGUUAUCAGGGGCUGCGGGGAGGGAGAAAUAGGGAAUGAUUGUCUAAUGGGUAUGGAGUUACAGUUCGGAUGAUGAACAAGUCCCAGAAGUGGACAGUGGUGAUGGCUGUACAACACUGUGAAUCCACUUGAUGCCACUUAUAAACUGUAUAUUUAUAAAGUGGUUAAAAUGGUAA